CAAUAGCGUAUAUUUAAGUUGUUGCAGUUAAAAAGCUCGUAGUUGGAUUUCGGUUAAGAGCGACCGGUCCGCCGUUUGGUGUGCACUGGUUGGUUUUAACUUCCUGUAGAGGACGUGCUCUGGGUUUAACGACCUGGACUCGGAGUCUACGUGGUUACUUUGAAAAAAUUAGAGUGUUCAAAGCGGGCUUACGCUUGAAUAUUUCAGCAUGGAAUAACACUAUAGGACUCCUGUCCUAUUUCGUUGGUCUCGGGACGGGAGUAAUGAUUAAGAGGAACAGUUGGGGGCAUUCGUAUUUCAUUGUCAGAGGUGAAAUUCUUGGAUUUAUGAAAGACGAACUUCUGCGAAAGCAUUUGCCAAGGAUGUUUNCAUUAG
rnacentral:rRNA from 1 species